rnacentral:rRNA from 1 species
ACGCGUGUGUGAAGAAGGCCUGAGGGUUGUAAAGCACUUUCAAUAGGAAGGAAUACCUAUCGGUUAAUACCCGGUAGACUGACAUUACCUAUACAAGAAGCACCGGCUAACUCCGUGCCAGCAGCCGCGGUAAUACGGAGGGUGCAAGCGUUAAUCGGAAUUACUGGGCGUAAAGCGUGCGUAGGCGGUUAUUUAAGUCAGAUGUGAAAGCCCUGGGCUUAACCUGGGAACUGCAUUUGAUACUGGAUGACUAGAGUUGAGUAGAGGAGAGUGGAAUUUCAGGUGUAGCGGUGAAAUGCGUAGAGAUCUGAAGGAACACCAGUGGCGAAGGCGGCUCUCUGGACUCAAACUGACGCUGAGGUACGAAAGCGUGGGUAGCAAACAGGAUUAGAUACCCUGGUAGUCCACGCCGUAAACGAUGUCAACUAACCGUUGGGUUCUUUAAGAACUUAGUGGUGGAGCUAACGUAUUAAGUUGACCGCCUGGGGAGUACGGCCGCAAGGCUAAAACUCAAAUGAAUUGACGGGGGCCCGCACAAGCGGUGGAGCAUGUGGUUUAAUUCGAUGCAACGCGAAGAACCUUACCUACCCUUGACCU